UCUCGCCUUCGAUUCCAACGAGUGCGAACAAUCUCGCCCCUCAAUUCCCUUCAUAAUCCUCAUUUUCCACGUCUCUGCGCCCAUUCGCCUGAACGAAAACCCGGAUCCAUUGCUUCCUCUGAAAUCAAACCCUAAUUUUGCCCCCAAACGAAUUGGAACGCAGUCAAACUCGAUUUCUAAUUCGAGUUGCGCCGAUUCUAGGGAUCUAAUCUGCCAUUUCCAGCUGGCGGGCAUUGUUGUUCCAUGUUAAGCACCAAAGAAACGCAACUGAAUUGUCUUCCAUUUUAAAGGUAUUAUAAAAAAUGUAUUAUCAAAGAUGUCCCAUCCUUGAGCGGAUACAAUUUUGGUUAUCAAGGAUGUCCCCUCCGGUUCAUGAAUCUCCAUAUGGAAGAGGACUUGGGCUGAUGCCCCAUCCAGCAUUAGCGAGGACCUCCUCAUAACCUCAGCAGUUUCAGAUCGAAGCUCCAUCCUCCUUGCUUCAUUUGUAAUACACACAGAGAAGUAAAGGGAAGCAAAUGCUUUUAUACUUCUGCCAGAUUCUGUCUGAUGGGUGAUGAGUCCAUCAGGAUCGGUCGUAACUUUCCCCAAUGGAAUGGGCUUAUCAGUUAUAUUCGACUCGAAGCCUCGCAGGUAGGUAAGAGCAUUUGAAAAUUCUUUAUACUUAUUUCUAUGAUUAUAUGUAUUUUUUUUCCCAAAUCUAGAUACAGCUUCUUUUGCUGUCACACGUGAUGCGACUCUUCGGUCUCACUAAUGUCAUUCCAUAUAAUUAAAUAACGUUAAACACUCCUACCUGUUAAUUUUCUUAUUUUUUUUCAAGUUACCUUUGUAAGGUAUCAAAACUAUAAUUUUUCUACAGCAAAUAAAAUUCUUUCCUUCACCAUGGUAGUUUUGUUUAGAUUAAUUAAUGUUACACUAUGCUAACUCAAGUUUAUACACUGCUAGAAAGUCAAAUUGUAAUCCCGCAGCAACGCGUGGGCAUUACUAGCUAGUAUGUACUAUGAAGAGGUGUCAUUUUAAAGUUCUCUUAUAUGUAUUCUCAAAAUAAUUAAACUCAUAUUUAUGGCAUUUAGUCAUUUUUUAAGUUGAUUCAUCAAAUUUAGCAUAAAUUCCAUGAAAUUUGAAGUUUCUCAUCCAAACAUAAUAUAAGUGUAACUAAAAAAAUUUCAGCAGCAACCUAUGAUUGGAGUCUGUUAAUAUGACGAUUUACUUGCGCUAUGGCAGUAGCUGAUUUGGGCUAAGUCACACAAUGAGUCUGCUAUAAUAAGUUGAUAUUGAACCAUCCAUGUACGAGAUUCGAACAUAAAACCCUAAACUUACAAGUGUAGAGAAAUAGUACUAGAUAGUAGUACUAAGUGACGUGAUUGGAGAGUAAUUUAUAGGGUUAAUAAGAGGAAACCAAUUAGGUUUGUGAUGAUGCAAUUGCGGCUGUACUAAUCUAACUGUUAAAUUCAAUUGAUAUUGGAGAGCGCUUUGAUGACCAUCAAUUCCAAAUAGAUGCGUCAUGCAUGAUUCACUUUCAAAUGGGUGUAUAUAUAUGUUCACAGCUUGAGUCCCUUAAUUAAGUGUUCGUUUUAAGCAUGAGACUAAAUAUCUUGGUGAAUGAAACUUUUCCCAAGGGAACAAUCAACUACGGAAGUGAUGACCUUUCUCAAGUCCCUGUCACUUGGGAACUACGAAGGCACGUACAUUGAAAAUGCAAGUAAACAAAGGGAAUCACAAGCUGCAGGUGGGUGUUUUAGCCUUAAUGGUUGUCUUAAUAAAAGAGAUUAGUGGUUGAACGGAGAAAAAGCACAAGAACCACUCAAAAUACUACCACUAUAGAUAAUAGAUCCAUGCUUAGUCACUUUAGUAUUACGGUCUAGCAGUAUUCUUCUUUACUUGUGAGUGAGAAGUCUUAGUCUUGAUUCUCACCAAAGGCAAAUUUGAACUAUAUUAUUGCUAGUCCAUUAUGUAGCUUAACCUACUCAUUUACUUCAUUAAUAUAGAUAAUUUAGUUUAUUCCAAAAAAAAAAAAAAAAAAAUAGAUGCAUGCAUGCUUAAAAUGAUAAGGCUUAUUUCGUCACUCAGCAAAUAAGAAUUCGAAAUUUGUCACCAUAUCCACCUUAGACAUUUAAUAAAGAAUAAUUUACAUGAAGGGUACCAUUUACGGUAAUUCUUAAAAAAUAAUAAAAGCUUGAACUUUGCCAAAAAUGAUGGCCCAUGGAUUAGUAGGGUUAGUUACUGGUUAGGUGUGAAAUGGUGCUGGAUCGCUUGACAUUAUAUAUCCGGAUGGGAAUGAGGAUCCUCUCGAUUUUCUUUGUGAGGAUCUUGAGAAUCUUACAAUUAUAUUCAUUUAUCAUAUAUUGUGUGGUUAAUUUUUGUUAAGUACUGUUUAUAUUUAAUUUUAAAUAAAAAGAUUUACAAUGAUUUAUGGUUGUACGAUAUACGAUGAACAGAUAUGAUUGAAGGAUUCUCGAAAUCCUCAUAAAGAGGAUCAGGAGAGGAUGCUUAUUCCUUGGAUGGAUUUGAGCUGCAUGACAGUUGCAAUGCAACAGGUCCAAAUCUUUGAUUACCAUAAAAUCUAGGGAGUUUUAGCAAAACACUCAUGAUACUGUUCACUUUUAACGAAAAAUCAUAUUUUAACCUUUU